rnacentral:tRNA from 1 species
GAAUAUGAAUGUUGGUUGGUUUUGCAAAAGCUGAUUAGGGUUGUGGUUUGACCCCGUAUUUU